AUUGAACGCUGGCGGCAUGCUUUACACAUGCAAGUCGAACGGCAGCACGGGCUUCGGCCUGGUGGCGAGUGGCGAACGGGUGAGUAAUGCAUCGGAACGUGCCCAUUUGUGGGGGAGUAACUACGCGAAAGCGUGGCUAAUACCGCAUACGCCCUGAGGGGGAAAGCGGGGGAGUUCUUCGGAACCUCGCGCAAUUGGAGCGGCCGAUGUCAGAUUAGCUUGUUGGUGAGGUAAAGGCUCACCAAGGCGACGAUCUGUAGCGGGUCUGAGAGGAUGAUCCGCCACACUGGGACUGAGACACGGCCCAGACUCCUACGGGAGGCAGCAGUGGGGAAUUUUGGACAAUGGGGGCAACCCUGAUCCAGCCAUGCCGCGUGAGUGAAGAAGGCCUUCGGGUUGUAAAGCUCUUUCAGCCGGGAAGAAAGCGCACUCUCUAACAUAGGGUGUGGAUGACGGUACCGGAAGAAGAAGCACCGGCUAACUACGUG
rnacentral:rRNA from 1 species